GAUGAACGCUGGCGGCGUGCUUAACACAUGCAAGUCGAACGAGAAGUGAAGACGGAAACCUUCGGGCGGAAGGCUUUAUUUCGAUGGGCGGACGGGGGAUUAACGCGUGGGUAACCUGCCUCAUACAGGGGGAUAACAGUUGGAAACGACGGUUAAUACCGCAUAAGACCACAGCACCGCAUGGUGCGGGGGUAAAACCUCCGGUGGUAUGAGAUGGACCCGCGUUCGAUUAGCCAGUUGGCGGGGUAACGGCCCACCAAAGCGACGAUCGAUAGCCGAUCUGAGAGGAUGGCCGGCCACAUUGGGACUGAGACACGGCCCAAACUCCUACGGGAGGCAGCAGUGGGGAAUAUUGCACAAUGGGGGAAACCCUGAUGCAGCGACGCCGCGUGAGUGAAGAAGUAUUUCGGUAUGUAAAGCUCUAUCAGCAGGGAAGAAAAUGACGGUACCUGAGUAAGAAGCCCCGGCUAACUACGUG
rnacentral:rRNA from 1 species